rnacentral:rRNA from 1 species
GACGAACGCUGGCGGCGUGCCUAAUACAUGCAAGUAGAACGCUGAAGGAGGAGCUUGCUUCUCUGGAUGAGUUGCGAACGGGUGAGUAACGCGUAGGUAACCUGCCUGGUAGCGGGGGAUAACUAUUGGAAACGAUAGCUAAUACCGCAUAAGAGUAGAUGUUGCAUGACAUUUGCUUAAAAGGUGCAAUUGCAUCACUACCAGAUGGACCUGCGUUGUAUUAGCUAGUUGGUGGGGUAACGGCUCACCAAGGCGACGAUACAUAGCCGACCUGAGAGGGUGAUCGGCCACACUGGGACUGAGACACGGCCCAGACUCCUACGGGAGGCAGCAGUAGGGAAUCUUCGGCAAUGGACGGAAGUCUGACCGAGCAACGCCGCGUGAGUGAAGAAGGUUUUCGGAUCGUAAAGCUCUGUUGUAAGAGAAGAACGAGUGUGAGAGUGGAAAGUUCACACUGUGACGG